GUCGUCCCAAAUAGGACGAAACGCGCGUCCUGGAU
rfam:Schistosoma mansoni, Puerto Rico, WGS project CABG01000000 data, contig: 0049